ensembl:lncRNA
CCUGCCUCGUAGGAGGGGAGAGGGCUGGAGAUUGAGUUCAACUACCAGUGGCCAAUGAUUUAAUCAAACGUGCCCAUGUAAUGAAGCCUCCAUAAAACCCCAAAAGGACAAGGUUCAGAGAGCUUCUGGAUUGGUGGACACAUGGACAUCUGGGGAGAGCACUGUGCUUGGAGACAGCAAGCCUUCCUUCCCCGAUAUCUUGCCCUAUGCAUCUCUUCCAUAGGGCUGUGCUUGAGUUAUAUCUUUUUACAACAAAUUGGUGAUCUAGAUAUAUAUCACCAAUUACGAUCGGUCCUCACCGCUUCAGCCUGGCUUGGUUUAUCUUCACACUGGAAAGAUCAUUUGGCUUGCCCAUCUCUUUUCAAGCAGCAAUUUGUUAAAAAAAAAAAUCAGUGAAUACAGCACAAAACUGUAGGCGGUCUUGGCCAUCUCUCAGUCCUAUCAAACAUUGUGAAAAUGAUCAGCAGGGCAAGAGUUGCAUCUGAAACCUACUUGAAUCCUCUGACAAGACUCUAUGAGAAACGAUUCAAUCCAAAGAAGAGCUGGGGUGGAUUUCAAAAGACAUGACAUCCCCUUUCCCAAAUAAUUCAGCCAUAAUUUUGGGGAGACAGAGGGCCGCCAUUUUGAAAAUGGUGUCAAUUCUAUGAUUGGUCACUUUUGGGAGAUUCUAUACCUUGGGAGGUAAUGAGGGUGAAGAAUUGAACUAAAAUUAGGGCUAAACAGUUCCAGAGAAAACAGAUGUGACCUGACCCUUUUCUUUGUUAGGUGAUUGCAGUGGUUCUGAAACUCAGAGUCAGCAUCACUUUGGGGGUUUAGAAACUCUUAGAUUCCUCAGAUUCUGAUUCUGUAGGUCUGGUGGGGCCCGAUUGUAUGUCUAUAUGUGGCUCUGAUGGCAAUUUCCCUUCUUUCUGAGAUUAUCUAUUUGGGAAAAAAGUUUUGGUCUCAGCACAGUUGCUUCCUGGCGCCUCUCCGCUAACCUGUGCGAAGGCUUCCUUUGCCUCUGAUCACUGUUCCUCACCUUCCGGCUGGCAGUGGAGGGUGGACAUGGGCACGAUGCUCUUGGCUGCCAGACCUCAAAUCCCCAGUGAUUUCCCUCUGAGGAAAUAGAGGUUUACCCCAGAACACAAACAACUCUGCCUUGAAUAUUAUACAUCACUGUAUACUCUUUGGCCCAUUGUUAUGGGUUGAAUUGUGUCCCACCAAAAAAGAUAUGUUGGAGUCCUAAUCCCUUUGGAAUGUGACCUUUUAGAAUCUUUACAGAGGUAAUGAGUUAAAAUAAGGUCGUGAGGGUGGGCCCUAAUCUACUAUGACUGAUACCUUUAUAAGAAGAGGAAAUGUGGGCACAGGUGCACAUACAGGGAGAGCGCCAUGUAAGCAUGAAGGUGGCCAACUACAAGCCAAGUUGAGGAGCUUGGACCAGAUUCUCCCUUGUGGCCCUUAGAGGGACCAAUGCUGCUGACACCUUAGUCUUGGACUUGUAGAUUAAGAACUAGGAGACAAUAAAUUUCUUUCGUUUAAGUCACCCAGCGUGCAGCACUGUGUUAUGGUGGUCCUAGCAAAUGAACGCAUCCCCUGGCCUUAGGGAUUUCCCUCCAUGGGACACCUUUCUCUUCAGGCUCCAUCCUCCUCUCCUGUCAUCUGGUCUUUCUCUUUUCCCUCCCUCUUCCUCCCUUUUCUUUCGUUCUCUAUCCUGUACCCCCAAUUCCAGCUUAUUGCUUACUUACAACAAUUAGCUAUUUCUGUGCUCCAGAUCUUUUAAUCUUGAUCUCCAGAGGCUGUUCCCUUCUCACUCUUAAUCUCAAGAUGUUUUCCUAAACAGAAAGUUCCCUUCCCUAAGAGGAACUCUGGUGGCAGUUGUCAAGAUAAUGGCUUUUUCACCUGCUACAAGUAAUUGUUUUUAAAGCUCUCGAGAUGCUUCUGAUGUGCAGUCGGGGUUGAGAACCACUGCUGCAAAGUGAAUUGUCACUGCUGCUCACCCAGGAGGACCCUGGGCUUACACAGUACCGAGAACCUGUCAUGCAAAUGAAAAUUCAAGUGAUCAACUGGCAUUUGUCAACUGAAGUUUGCAUUCCUGUAAUCCUUUUGCAAAAAAGGUACCUGCAGCAAUAAUAUAAAAUCUUCAUUUGAUACUAGCCUUGACGACUGUUUUGUACACAACUGUGUCCCCCACAAAUUCGUAUGUUGCAGCCCUGACCCUCAAUUUGACUGUCUUUAGAGACAAGGCCUUUAAAGAGAUGAUUAAGUUAAAAGGAGGUCGUAUGGGUGGGCCCUAAUCCGAUGUGACUAGUGUCCUUAUAAGAAGAGGAGAGAAAGACACAGGCAUAAGUGCACAUAGAGAAAACCACAUGAGGACACAGCGAGAAGGCAGCUGUCUGCAAGCCAAGGAGAGAGGCCUCAGGAGAAACCAACCCUGCUGACAUCUUAGACUUCUGGCCUCCAAAAUUGUACAGACGGGAAAAAUGCCAAUCCCAGAGAGUUGCUGCAUCCAACAUGAUGCCACCCAGGGGGCUAUACAAAAACAGUCAGUGGACUGGAUUUGGCCUACAGGCUGUAUUCUGCCAAUUCCUGAGCUAAUAAAUAUCUGC